UACGAAGGGGGCUAGCGUUGCUCGGAAUCAUUGGGCGUAAAGGGUGCGUAGGCGGCGCGGUAAGUCGGGUGUGAAAUCUCGGAGCUUAACUCCGAAACUGCAUUCGAUACUGCGGUGCUUGAGGACUGGAGAGGAGACUGGAAUUUAUGGUGUAGUAGUGAAAUGCGUAGAGAUCAUAAGGAAGACCAGUGGCGAAGGCGGGUCUCUGGACAGUUCCUGACACUGAGGCACGAAGGCCAGGGGAGCAAACGGG
rnacentral:rRNA from 1 species